ACUCCGCACUCUUAGGCUGCGUGUGAGGCCUGCGAGUGCUCGGGAGCUGCCGCGGUCACAAGAGAAAGCCUAGCUGUCAAUGACAGCCCCAGAGCAUCUGGGCGCCUUGCGAUACCCGGGUGUCUGUAGGCAGCCAGGAGACACUUCCAAGCUGAUCUGGAAUCUUUCCUCGCCCAGCUCUGUCCCUCGCAGGGAUGGCAAAGGACAUUACGACCUACAUCCCUUCCCGGAUCUGAUGGCUUCAGAUUGGCAGAUUGUGUUAAAGUGGAAGGCUCGUGGUGCCCCUUUGCUGAGUUUUUAUGGACUUAGUUUUCCCAAGUAGUUCUAAUUAUCGCUGGGGGGGUGGGGUGGGGCGGGAACGUAAUUUCUGCGUCUGCCCUUAAAUACCUUUAAACCUUGGCUGCAUUGCCGCUUUUAUGGAAUUUCACCCAUAGUCUGUCUUUUUUAGUUUCCCUGAUACGCAUCUUUCUUAAUAAUAAUAAUAAUAAAUAAAUAAAUAGCACUUUGGGAGGCCGAGGCGGGCGGAUUACCUGAGGUCGGGAGUUCAAGAGCAGCCAGGCUAACAUGGUGAAACCUACCUCUCUACUAAAAAUACAAAAAUUAGCGGGGUGCAGUGGCGCGCGCCUGCAAUCCCAGCUACUCCGGAGGCUGAGGAAGAAUUGCUUGAACCUGGGAGGCAGAGGUUGUGGUGAGCCUAGAUCACGCCACCGCACUCGCACUCCAGCCUGGGCUACAGAGCGAGACUUCGUCUUAAAAAAAAAAAAAAAAAAAAAAAAAAAAAAAAAAAACAAGGCAUGUGGCCAGUAUUCCCUGCCUAUACUUGUUUUCUUUAGAAAAAUGUAACUUUUAAACAUAAUUUGACUUGAAACGGUUUCUUUCCAGGAUUUAUCAUUUUUUAUAGGUGAUUCCAGUUCAAACUAUUUAUUACAUUAAUAUGUUGACAAAUUGUCGUUGCUGAACAAAUUUUUUAUGUGCAAUCAUACGGAACAUUUUAUAUUUAAGGAUGUUUAUAUAUCAAGUAUAUAAUCAUUGGCAGAAACUGGGCAGGGCGCGGUGGCUCACGCCUGUAAUUCCAGCACUUUGAGAGGCUGAGGCAGGUGGAUCAUCUGAGGUCAAGACUUCAAGACCAGCCUGGCCAACAUAGUGAAUCCCUGUCUCUACUAAAAAUACAAAAAAUAGCGAGCGUGGUAGCACGCACCUGUAAUCUCAGCUACUCGGGAGAAUGAGGUGGGAGAAUCGCUUGAACCCCAGGCGGCGGAGGUUGCAGUAAGCCAAGAUUGCGCCACUGCACUCCAGCCUGGGUGACAGAUCCAGAUUCUGUCUCCAGAAAAAAAAAAAGAGAAAGAAACCUAAGAAAGCUAUAUUGUUUAUACUCUAACAUUUCUAACAUUUAACUACAUUUAUCCAUUCUCAAAGGAAGUUGGUCAUCACAAGAUUGGAAAAUCUGUACUUCCCUGGCUUAUAUGACUUAAUCAUAAAUGUCUAAAUUUGACAGAUGUCCCAGGAAAGAAAACUUAUAAAACUACUCUGUUGCAUUCUAUGUGUUUAUGUGACAUUUGAGAUCUGCAUAUUAUACAUAGCAAUCUGGUUUUUAAUAUAAUGUAGAGAGACUGAAAAAGUUUUAGCAGUUUAGCUGCCACUUUAGCUGCUUAAAGUAAUAUAUGCAUCAUCUGCCCCCUUUGGUGGUAGGGAUGUCAGAUUCCAUUCUCUGUAGGGUAUUUCAUACAAAUCUGUUAGUCGCUGGAGGAAUCAGAAACUAGACACACAACUGGUCCACCUGGCUGUCUGGUGGCAGCAGAGGAACUGGGAUUUCCAGGGCAACUGACGGGGCGAUAGGACAGGGCAGCAGGGAGGAAAUCUGGGGACGUACAUAAGAUUUAGGUCCAAUACAAGCACUGUGCUUUAAAUACCAUUCUGAUUCUCAUUUAUGUUUAACCACCUUUAUAUUUAAGAUCUAUCCACAUUGCCUUCUUCCAUUUUAUUCCUUCAGAUUUCUACAUUGUAUUACAUAAUAUAUGCUGUCUUUUACUAACUGAUUCAUUUUGUGAUAAGCAUAGUUUGCCUACAACCUUUUACUAACUUAAUGCAUUGUCUCUCACCCCAACUCCAUUCCUUAACCAAGUCUGACUGGUCAAGAAAUAUCCAACACCUGGUAUCAACCUGCAUCAACCUGCAUGCUAGCAAAUUAGCAAAUAAUAAAUGCUUUUGGAACUAACUGGUUUAUGGAGGUCCUCAAAAACUGGGUGGUGUGUUUAUUUAAUGCUAGGUCAAUUUGGCAAAAAUAAAUGUACAGAAAGCCAUUUCCAGAACAAAAAAUGUCAGAAUACAAUUUGCCAAACAAAUUUUCUAAAUUACUAAUUUGAUGAAUUGUUGAGGCUUGUUAAAAAAGUUUAAGCCCUACUAAUGCCUCAGCCUUGUCUGAGGCAAGCCCAGGAGCAGGGGCAGAGCGUGAGUAUACAAAAAGUGGGGAACUGCAAACUCCACUUCAGAAAAACUUCACCUAUUUGUGUAUCAAAAGGCUGGGGUAAAUGCAAAACUAAAGCUCUGAAAAACUCUAUUUGACAAACUAGCUUUCAACUGCUAGUAAAAAGCCUAGAUAUUGGCCAGGCACGGUGGCUUAUGCCUGUAAUCCAAGCACAUUGGGAAGCCGAGGUGGGAGGAUCACCUGAGGUCAGGAGUUCAAGACCAGCCUGGCCAAAAUGGUGACACCCUGUCUCUACUAAAAAACACAAAAAUUAGCCAGGCAUGGUGGCGGGCGCCUGUAAUCUCAGCUACUUGGGAGGCUGAGGCAGGAGAAUCGCUUGAACUUGGGAGGCGGAGGUUGCAGUGAGCGGAGGUUGCACCAUUGCACUCUAGCCCGGGCGACAGAGCAAGACUCCGUCUAUUUAAAAAAAAAGCCUAGAAAUUAAACAAAACUGGUUUUAUUUCAUAAGAUGUUUAGAGACAGGCAAUGGCUGGUGUUGGGUCAGCAGCUCAACAAUGUGGCAACUGGCAUCUUCGUGGUUCUCUUGGCCCUUCGUCGUGGUUCAAAUAACUCCUCCAGCUCCAGUCAUCACUUUGGUGUUUAUGGCAGUAAGGGGGGGAGGAGGUGGCCUAGCUGCAUAUGUAUCUUUAAUCAGGAAGUAAAAGUUUUCCCAGAAUUCCCAAGGCCAAAGCUGUGUCCUGAGGCCACUGAGAGUUGUUAGUUGCAACAGAGGCUGAAAGGGGAGCAAUUAGCUUUUCUGGGUUCUUUAGUGAAGGCAGGUAAGGGAGAAGGGGGUUGGGAAUGGCUGGCAAAUUGGAGCACCAACAUUACCUUUAUGGAUAAUUUCUUUUUCAAAAUGGGCAGCUGAUAUGUGAAGAAAUAUCUAACAACAAUUUUAAGGUUGUAAUUUGAAACUCAGUUCUGCUUUCAAUCAUGACAUUUUUAACAGAUGCAUUUCAGCUAUACUAUUUUUUCUUGUGCCCCACUCCCCAACAUUCUAGAAUGGAACUAAAAUAAAAUUACUUAAUCUUUCAAGAAAAAGUGGGAAAAAAAAAUCAAAAGGCCAACAGUGGCAAGAUACUUUCAACUACUCUUGAUGUCAUUGUCCUUCUACACCAAAGAACAUCUGGAAAACAUCCCCACAUCCUUUGGUGUUUAAGAACUGAUAGAGCUGACCAAAGUCCAUGUGGUUUCCCCUGGCUCCAUUAACACUGAACACUUUUUCUUCAAAAAUGGAAAAUUUCCUUUGUCUUUCCGUUUCAUCAUUUGUACCAUCAAAAGGAAUGUCUUCUCGAUGGCGAAUUAAAAUUCUCUUCCAGUUUAAUUUUCUGAGUCUGAAAAGAAAUUUCCAAAGUAAACAUUUUCAAAAUGUAUAUUCUAGAGCAUUUAAAACAGAAGUUAUAAAACAGAUUUAUCAAUGCCUUUUCCUAGAAGUAGUCUACUUUUUAAAAUGUUUAUAACUUUUACUUAUUGAUUUAGUAGAGGCAGGUCUUGCUAUGUUGCUCAUGCUGGUUUCAAACUCCUGGCUGCAAGUGAUACUCUGGCCUCAGCCUCCCAAAGUGCUGGGAUUACAGGUGUGAGUCAUACACACCCCGUCCAAGAAGUCUACUUUUAUCUCACAGGGAUUUAUUUUAAUCAAAUAUGAUUCUGGUCAUAAUCUCAUCUCUGAACUCAUUUGUUGCCCUUACUACAGCCAUGUAUCAGUAGUUUAGAAAUGUAGGAAUUACUGAAUCCCAAACUACUAUGGACCUUCUCAGAAAUUCAUUUAGUAUAUCAGUAGAGAAAUGAGACUAGUGGCAAUUCUAAUGCUUCUAGAAAGCUCCUUACUUCACAGGGUAUACAGUUUGCAGCAUCACUAAAAUGAGGGAAGGACCAGAUCCAUGGAAGUGGAUGGGGUCAUAGUGUCUGGGGCAGGAGCUCAAUUCAUUCAGUGCAUAUUUACAGAAUGUCUCCUACAUGCACUUGUCAGGUGACGGGGAAAAUGCUGACUACAUGUGAUUUCUGCCAUAUCCAUCAACUUGAGAUUGAAUCCCCAUAAAGACACAACCCCUGGGACAUACUUAUCUCCACAUCUCUAAUAGUCAUGUGUUGCUUAACAACGGGGAUACAUUCUGAGAAAUGUAUCUUUAGGCUAUUUUGUUGUUGUACCACCACGACAGAGUGUACUUACACAAACCUAGAUGGUACUUUUUUUGCAUUUAUAUUUUUUCAUAUAGAAAACCAAAUGUCCCAGCACCAUUACUGAAUAUCAUUCUGAUAUUCAAUAGUGGGAAGAUCAAGUGCCAUAUAUCAGGUUUCUAUAUGUGCUCCAUUAUAAUCUUAUGGCAUCACUGUUUUAUGUGUUGUCCACUGUUGACCAAAACGUCACUAGGCAGCACAUGACUGUAUCUUGUUUAGUAUUAACAUUAUUGACAUGACUUCAUAUACAUAUGUAAAAGCAAACCUUGACCAGAAUUCUUCACAGGCACUUUGUGGGCCUUCCACACAAACAACACCAGGUUUUCCAGGCAUGCUAAACCCAGACAGGGAAAGCUCCUUUGCCCACUCUAGAAUAUUCUUUCUUUUGCAUUUGUUAUAGAUAUGAUGGCUGUAGAUCCAGAGUCUCGUGAAGAUGAGGUCAACUGACUGGACUGUGCUUCCUGUGGUGGGUGAAGAUGAAGUAUCUCUGCUGACAUAGCCAGAGGCGUGUUCUCUAACCCACUCUGUGGCAUUCAGUAUACAAACAUCUCCAUGACAAUGUUUUUGCAGGAAUGCAGUCAGAUCUGUGUUCAGCUGAGUCUGCUGGGAUCUACUCAAUAAUACUGAUCUAAUAGAAAAGAUACAAGAAAAAUAUUGUCUUGGAACAGAAAACAAAUUCGAGAAUUGCUUUUAUUCUCAGAUUAAUUUUGACCUCCAAAGUUGGCCAGAGCUUCUGUAACGUACCUGACAGUAAUUUCAGGCAGAACUGCCGGGUAUUUAAAGGGAAGAAUACAGGCCAGAGAAAACAUCGCCUGAUUAAAGAGAAGAAGAAAAAGUGCACUAACCAAUGUUUUAAGUCUCAACAUGUUUCAAUCCCUCUAAAAGCAAAACUGAAUUACCAUUUUUUCGUCAGAUACAUCCAGGUUCAUAUUGAUAGUAAAGUAGACUUUUGAAGAUCGCCCCUCCAUUGUCUUCUUUUCAAUACAAUCUUUCAGUUCUGCUACAGCCAGCUGGUCAUUCACUAUGAGCUCAUUCUCACCAGGGAACAUACUGGCUAGCAGGUCUAACUCAGCAAGCUGGGCCUCCGCCUGCUCCAUCUCAAUCAUUUUUGGACAUGUGUAAGUUUCUAAGGAGGUAAAGAUAAGAGAGACAAUUUACAUAUGCAAUCUUGGAAGAAAUGAAUACAUCAACA
rnacentral:lncRNA from 1 species